AUAUUGGAGACAGUAAUGCCUGACAUUGAUUUAAGAAGUUGGACUAAACAACGGGAAUGUACAAUAGGGGAAAUAUGUGAGAAUUAUCAAAUAUUAUCUUUUGAUAAAUUGAACCAAAAAUUUAACCUGUCUCAACAAGAUAUAUUUAAAUACCACGGGUAAUGGGGAAUCAGGGUUCCAUUCCGUACAGGGACCCUGAGAAACGGCUACCACGUGCAAGGAAGGCAGCAGACGCGUAAAUGACCCACUCCCAUCGCGGGAAGGUAGUGACAACAAAUAACAAUACAGGACUCUUUAGAGGCCCUCUAAUUGUAAGGAGUCCACUUGAACUCCUUUAACUCUGAUCAAUUGGAGGGAAGUCUGGUGCAGAGCCACUGACCCGUGUGUGCUGCAGCUGAAACUCCACU